AUGGAGUAGAAAGAGUCACGGGACGGAAACCUGCUGCAGAUAAAAGCCCUGAAAGGUUUUAAUAAUCCACUUCAGAGCAGCUUCUGACGAUCACCUGGACUCACGUGAACUCUGCUCCCACUUUGCAAAUAAUUAGCUGAGUACUGGAAACCGGAACUCUUCAGGACAGAAGCCCAGGAAACCCAGUAACUGUUCAGUUUUUCCUAACAGCUAAAAUAAAGUGGAUAAGUUACAGCUGCUCUUUACGACUUCGAGCUUCUGAUUCACAGAGGAUUUCACAUUCUGUGGUUUGAAAUUUGACCUCAUUCCAAAAGUUUUCAAGGUUGAAGUGAAUCUUUCUCUUGAGGAAUCUGACGCUCCCAGCUCCCAGCUCCACUUUGAGAGAAGCCCCGUCUCAUCAGUGGCCCGGUGGAACGUUCAAAAUAUAAUAAAACAAAUACAUCAAGGUUUUACCGUCUUCAGCAAACAUGCAACAUUUAUAAAAAACAACCAAAACAUCUCUGUCAUACAUGAAUAAUAGGGAAUAAUAGUGCAUGAGAGGGAACUGCAUGAAUAUUGGUUGAGCAAGAACAAUCCACAAGUACUUGAACCUGGUGCACGUUCACUUCAGUUAGUACUUGAUCAGAGUUCCCACUGAAAACCAGCAGUUUACAAUUUGCAGUUUUUUAAACCAGUGGAUUUUAAUUGAUCUAGUAGUUUUUAAAGGAGACACACACAGUGGGUCACUUGUGCCACUGGUGUGUGUGUGUGUGUGUUUGUGUGUGUGUCUCAACGACGUGUGACACACAUACGACUGCAGCCACUUCCCACAGAGAACCUUUACUCCUGAGUUACACACUGAAGAAGUCUCCAGCUGAUAAGACCAACAGACUCAACCCCCCUCCAAUAACACAGUCCUGUGGAGAUAAGCAGGUGUGGACACACUGGUAACAAAAGGCGACUCAAGUGUCACGCUCCUUGCUGAUGGUUUGGAGAAGAAACCACAACAGUAACCGAACCAGGGGCAGAGAACACACUGGUUUCACUCGGUACCAGCGGGAAAGUAAGAACAGCCCCAGUGAAGUCCACGCUCCUUGAACAACCUCCCACACUGAUCCGCUCCCCAGGUUCCGGACUCUGUCGAAGAAACACGACGUGUCCGCAUGUCUCCGAGGUUCAGAGGAGGGCGCCACCUUCUGGCGAGUCUCUGCAGGACAGCUGACACAACAGGAUAAGAAUAACAAUAAUCAUAAUCACAAUAAUCAUAAUCAUAAUAACCAUAACUAGUAUUACUAAAUUAUUAUAAUUAUUAUUGUUACUAUUAUUGUUAUUAUUAUAUUGUUCUUUAUUAUUCUUGUAUGUAUUUAUUAUUAUCAUCAUCAUCAUAGUCAUCGUCAUCUUCUUCAUCAAAUAAUAAUAAUCAUUAAUAUGAAUUGUUAUUAUUAAUAUAUAAUAAUGUGUCUGUCUGUGAAAUGUAGUGGAGAAAGAAUACUGUGCUCACGUCAGGUAACACCACUGUGUAAUAUUUAUUUAUUAUAAACCGUAUCUACAGUAAGUGUGUCAGUUUCACUUGUGUUGAAAAGAGCAGAUAUAUAUAUUAUUUAAAGAUUCUACUGUGAAACUUUAAAUAUAAUUAUUCUACAUGAUCUAUUCUUUCAUUCACAUGUGAAGGAACAGCGCCUCCACGCGGUCAGAGCAGCGCACUCCAGCCUGUGGUGUCACAUUUCAGUCAGUGUUCACACACUGGUA